GGCCAGAUGGCUCAAACGGUUAGAGCGUCCGUCUCGAGUUCGGAAGUUCCCGGUUCGAAUCCCUGUCUGGUCG